rnacentral:rRNA from 1 species
AUUGAACGCUGGCGGCAGGCCUAACACAUGCAAGUCGAACGAGUGGCGGACGGGUGAGUAAUGUCUGGGAAACUGCAUGAUGGAGGGGGAUAACUACUGGAAACGGUAGCUAAUACCGCAUACCAUCGGAUUUGCCCAGAUGGGAUUAGCUAGUAGGUGGGGUAAAGGCUCACCUAGGCGACGAUGCCUAGCUGGUCUGAGAGGAUGACCGGGCACGCUGGAGCUGGGACAGGGUGCAGAGUCGUACGGGGGGGGGCAGGGGGGUAUAUUGCACGAUGGGGGGAAGCCUGAUGCAGCCAUGCCGGGUGUAUGAAGAGGGCCUUCGGGGUGUAAAGUACGUUGAGCGGGGAGGCGUUACCCGCAGAGGAAGCACCGGCUAACUCCGUGCCAGCAGCCGCGGUAAUAC